CCUUCUCUGGAUGCUUACAUAAAUCCUGACAAUUAUGGAAUCCAGAAAAAUUGAACCAAGAGCUGUGACUCUAACUUAUGGUACUUUUCCAAAGGGACUGACUAUGGAACUAGCUGUCCUGAUAUAAGACAUGGGUGAAGAGGAACACAGUGACUUUAAAGAAGCAUCAGACCCAGGAGUUCUCUGAUGGUUCUUUGACCCACAUGGCCUGAGCCAUGUGCUACAACUACUGAAGCCAUGCAGCUGGAGGCCAUGCUCCGCCAGGAAGACACUGGCCACUGCGAUGAGAAGCCCACUCGAUGAGAAGCCCACGUAUAUACCUGGAGAGCAGCCUCCACUUGCCACA